GUUUUUAUAGUUUAAAAAAAACAUUGAUCUUGUAAAUCAAAAUUAGUUAAUAACUUCAAAACA
rnacentral:tRNA from 1 species